rnacentral:rRNA from 1 species
GGGGGGGGGGGGGGGGGGGCGGGGGGCAGGGAGGGGGAGGGGCGGGGCGGGGGGCGGGCGGGCGGCGGGGGGGGGACGGGGGGGUGAUACAGCGGAAGGGGCGCAGUAGUGGGGGAUAGCGCGGCGAAAGCCGGAUGAAUACCGCAUACGACCUGAGGGUGAAAGCGGGGGAUCUUCGGACCUCGCGCUAUUGGCGCGGCCGAUGGCGGAUUAGCUAGUUGGUGGGGUAAAGGCCUACCAAGGCGACGAUCUGUAGCUGGUCUGAGAGGACGACCAGCCACACUGGGACUGAGACACGGCCCAGACUCCUACGGGAGGCAGCAGUGGGGAAUUUUGGACAAUGGGCGAAAGCCUGAUCCAGCAAUGCCGCGUGUGUGAUGAAGGCCUUCGGGUUGUAAAGCACUUUUGGCGGGAACGAAAAGGACUGUGCCAAUACCACGGUUCGAUGACGGUACCCGCAGAAUAAGCACCGGCUAACUACGUG